rnacentral:lncRNA from 1 species
GUCUGUUAAAUAUCUGUUUAGACUCGUAUAUUUUGCUAGUCUCAUAAAACUGUUUAAUGAUUAAACUUGUUCCCUUUUUGGGCAGUGUUCUUGUCUGGAUUUCAAGAAAUACAUUUUUCUUGAUGUCUUUCACCUCCUACAUAAGCCUUAUAAUCAUUAUUCUGCAAUCUCUUUUGCCUAUCUCCAUAAGUACCAUGGGUGAUACUGAUAUCAGUAUUCCUUAACUAUAGUCGAUUUACUUUGCAACCAGCCCAAGUCUUAUCUUGUUCAAUUGAAAAUCAU